AGUGAACGCUGGCGGUAGGCCUAACACAUGCAAGUCGAACGGCAGCACAGUAAGAGCUUGCUCUUACGGGUGGCGAGUGGCGGACGGGUGAGGAAUACAUCGGAAUCUACUUUUUCGUGGGGGAUAACGUAGGGAAACUUACGCUAAUACCGCAUACGACCUACGGGUGAAAGCAGGGGAUCUUCGGACCUUGCGCGAUUGAAUGAGCCGAUGUCGGAUUAGCUAGUUGGCGGGGUAAAGGCCCACCAAGGCGACGAUCCGUAGCUGGUCUGAGAGGAUGAGAAGCCACACUGGAACUGAGACACGGUCCAGACUCCUACGGGAGGAAGCAGUGGGGAAUAUUGGACAAUGGGCGCAAGCCUGAUCCAGCCAUACCGCGUGGGUGAAGAAGGCCUUCGGGUUGUAAAGCCCUUUUGUUGGGAAAGAAAAGCAGCGGGUUAAUACCCCGCUGUUCUGACGGUACCCAAAGAAUAAGCACCGGCUAACUUCGUG
rnacentral:rRNA from 1 species